rnacentral:tRNA from 1 species
GUGUAACUCAAUGGUAGAGUGUCUGUCUAGUAUGUACAAAGCCCUGGGUUCAUUCCCCAGCAC